GGCAACGGUAGGGGGUGGCAUUUCUUUAAUACCUAAGUCAAACGGGCAGAGGGGCCGAAAGGACUGAUUUCUAUGCUGCUGUCUGUGUCAGGGCCACCGCAGCAGGGGGGCAGCGCGUGUACAAACCGUGUGGGUGCAGAGCAGCGUGUGCUGCAGAACCGGAGGCGCUGGGCGCUCCCCGCACCCUUCCUGAGCUCUUGACCUUCAAAGCACUUUACAGACAGAGCCUCAAGUAGACAUGCUGUCUUCACAGAAGGCAAAGACUCUAGGAACUGUCAUAGUGUUCUUCCACUAAAAACCUGAGGGAGCGGAGACAGGCAGCCAAUGGAGUUGGGAAGAGAGCUGUGGGCCAGGAGCACUGGUCUCAGCAGAGCUGGAGAAGAUUUGAGU
rnacentral:lncRNA from 1 species